rnacentral:snRNA from 1 species
AGCUUUGCGCAGUUGCAGUAUCAUAGCCCAUGAGGUUUAUCCGGGGCGUGAUUAUUGCUAAUUGAAAAAUAAUUUGGAAAAAGACUAUACAUUUUCUUCAUCUAUAGAACAGACAAUUAGAAGUGGAAGAAAUUACAAAACAGAUUUU